rnacentral:rRNA from 1 species
GAUGAACGCUGGCGGCGUGCCUAAUACAUGCAAGUCGAGCGAACAGACGAGGAGCUUGCUCCUUUGACGUUAGUGGCGGACGGGUGAGUAACACGUAGGUAACCUACCUAUAAGACUGGGAUAACUUCGGGAAGCCGGAGCUAAUACCGGAUAAUAUUUCGAACCGCAUGGUUCGAUAGUGAAAGAUGGCUUUGCUAUCACUUAUAGAUGGACCUGCGCCGUAUUAGCUAGUUGGUAAGGUAACGGCUUACCAAGGCAACGAUACGUAGCCGACCUGAGAGGGUGAUCGGCCACACUGGAACUGAGACACGGUCCAGACUCCUACGGGAGGCAGCAGUAGGGAAUCUUCCGCAAUGGGCGAAAGCCUGACGGAGCAACGCCGCGUGAGUGAUGAAGGUCUUCGGAUCGUAAAACUCUGUUAUUAGGGAAGAACAAACGUGUAAGUAACUGUGCACGUCUUGACGGUACCUAAUCAGAAAGCCACGGCUAACUACGUG